rnacentral:rRNA from 1 species
UACGUAGGGUGCGAGCGUUUGCCGGAAUUACUGGGCGUAAAGAGCUCGUAGGUGGUUUGUCGCGUCGUUUGUGUAAGUCCACGGCUUAACUGUGGGAUGGCAGGCGAUACGGGCAUAACUUGAGUGCUGUAGGGGAGACUGGAAUUCCUGGUGUAGCGGUGAAAUGCGCAGAUAUCAGGAGGAACACCGAUGGCGAAGGCAGGUCUCUGGGCAGUAACUGACGCUGAGGAGCGAAAGCAUGGGUAGCGAACAGG